CUAAGUGGGCUUGAUUGUGGGGAAAAAUCCACAGUUAAGCGCGCUUAAGCCAGAGGCGUCUUGGGAUGGGUGACCACCUGGGAAGUCCUGGUUACUAAGU
rfam:Picea glauca, whole genome shotgun sequence.